GCUGGGCGUGGUGGCACACGCCUGUAAUCCCAGCUACUCAGGAGGCUGAGGCAGGAGAAUCGCUUGAACCCGGGAGGCAGAGGUUGCAGUGAGCUGAGAUCGCGCCACUGCACUCCAGCCUGGGUGACAGAGUGAGACUCCGUCUCAA
rnacentral:SRP_RNA from 1 species